rnacentral:rRNA from 1 species
AUUGAACGCUGGCGGUAGGCCUAACACAUGCAAGUCGAACGGUAACAGGUCUAGCUUGCUAGAUGCUGACGAGUGGCGGACGGGUGAGUAACGCGUGGGAAUCUGCCUUCUAGUGGGGGAUAGCCCGGAGAAAUCCGGAUUAAUACCGCAUACGCCCUACGGGGGAAAGCCGGGGAGUCUUCGGACCUGGCGCUAGUAGAUGAGCCCGCGUGAGAUUAGCUUGUUGGUGGGGUAAUGGCCUACCAAGGCAACGAUCUCUAGCUGGUCUGAGAGGACGAUCAGCCACACUGGGACUGAGACACGGCCCAGACUCCUACGGGAGGCAGCAGUGGGGAAUAUUGGACAAUGGGCGAAAGCCUGAUCCAGCAAUGCCGCGUGUGUGAAGAAGGCCUGAGGGUUGUAAAGCACUUUCAAUCGUGAAGAAAAGUUAGCAGGCUAAUACCCUGUGACCUUGACGUUAACGAUACAAGAAGCACCGGCUAACUCCGUGCCAG